rnacentral:tRNA from 1 species
GGAGAGAUGGCCGAGCGGCUGAAGGCGGCGGUUUGCUAAACCGUUAUACGAUGUAAAAUCGUAUCGAGGGUUCGAAUCCCUCUCUCUCCGCCA